rnacentral:rRNA from 1 species
UACGUAGGUGGCAAGCGUUGUCCGGAUUUACUGGGUGUAAAGGGCGUGUAGCCGGGCUGACAAGUCAGAUGUGAAAUCCGUGGGCUCAACCCCCGAACUGCAUUUGAAACUGUUGGUCUUGAGUAUCGGAGAGGCAGGCGGAAUUCCUAGUGUAGCGGUGAAAUGCGUAGAUACUAGGAGGAACACCAGUGGCGAAGGCGGCCUGCUGGACGACAACUGACGGUGAGGCGCGAAAGCGUGGGGAGCAAACAGG